GAUGAACGCUGGCGGCGUGCCUAAUACAUGCAAGUCGAGCGAACAGACGAGGAGCUUGCUCCUUUGACGUUAGCGGCGGACGGGUGAGUAACACGUAGGUAACCUACCUAUAAGACUGGGAUAACUUCGGGAAACCGGAGCUAAUACCGGAUAAUAUUUCGAACCGCAUGGUUCGAUAGUGAAAGAUGGCUUUGCUAUCACUUAUAGAUGGACCUGCGCCGUAUUAGCUAGUUGGUAAGGUAACGGCUUACCAAGGCAACGAUACGUAGCCGACCUGAGAGGGUGAUCGGCCACACUGGAACUGAGACACGGUCCAGACUCCUACGGGAGGCAGCAGUAGGGAAUCUUCCGCAAUGGGCGAAAGCGUGACGGAGAAACGCCGCGUGAGUGAAGAAGGCCUUCGGAUCGUAAACCUCUGUUAUUAGGGAAGAACAAAUGUGUAAGUAACUGUGCCCGUCUUGACGGUACCUAACCAAAAAGCCACGGCUAACUACGUG
rnacentral:rRNA from 1 species